CAGACGCAAGAGCAGAUGCCUGGUGCCUGCACAUCUCAAUGGCAGCAUCAAGGGCAGGCACCACACAGGCCCCCUCACACCCUCUACUCCCCAGGGCAGCCUAGAGCACAGAAAGGACAGGACGGAAACAGGUGGAUGGAAACAGAUGAAACUGUAGCCAUUGUUGGUACUCUCUGCCCAUGCCCAUGCCUUCUUACUGGGCCUACACCGGAAACAAACCACACAGAUAAUGUCACAGGGGCUAGCUGGAGAGCCAUAUCUUGUAUAGCAAAGGCUUGGAUAAGGAGGCAACAGGAACUGAAAUAAACACAAGAAAUGGAGAGAAAAGACUACAAAAAACACUCCAGAGUCUACACAAAGCAACAUAGGAGAUGGGAAGAUGUGGAUUCUGCUUUACUGUGACAAAACUUUGAAUUCUCAGGAUUUGUGAGUUAAUCCAAGGGUGUCUUGUUUUGUUUUGUUUUGGUGGAUUGUUAUAUAA
rnacentral:lncRNA from 1 species